AUUUUUCUAAAUUCUUUUCUCUU
rnacentral:snRNA from 1 species